AAACGAUGAGUGCUAAGUGUUAGGGGGUUUCCCCCUUUAGUGCUGCAGCUAACGCAUUAAGCACUCCGCUGGGGAGUACGACCGCAAGGUUGAAACUCAAAGGAAUUGACGGGGGCCCGCACAAGCGGUGGAGCAUGUGGUUUAAUUCGAAGCAACGCGAAGAACCUUACCAGGUCUUGACAUCCUUUGACCACUUUAGAGAUAAAGCUUUCCCUUCGGGGACAAAGUGACAGGUGGUGCAUGGUUGUCGUCAGCUCGUGUCGUGAGAUGUUGGGUUAAGUCCCGCAACGAGCGCAACCCUUAUUGUUAGUUGCCAUCAUUCAGUUGGGCACUCUAGCGAAACUGCCGGUGACAAACCGGAGGAAGGUGGGGAUGACGUCAAAUCAUCAUGCCCCUUAUGACCUGGGCUACACACGUGCUACAAUGGACAGUACAAUGAGCAGCGACACGGCGACGUGAAGCGAAUCUCAUAAAGCUGUUCUCAGUUCGGAUUGUAGGCUGCAACUCGCCUACAUGAAGUCGGAAUCGCUAGUAAUCGCGGAUCAGCACGCCGCGGUGAAUACGUUCCCGGGCCUUGUACACACCGCCCGUCACACCACGAAAGUUUGUAACACCCAAAGUCGGUGAGGUAACCUUCGGGAGCCAGCCGCCUAAGGUGGGAUAGAUGAUUGGGGUGAAGUCGUAACAAGGUAACCA
rnacentral:rRNA from 1 species